rnacentral:rRNA from 1 species
UACGAGGGGGGCGAGCGUUGUUCGGAAUUAUUGGGCGUAAAGGGUGCGUAGGCGGUUUGGUAAGUCUGAUGUGAAAUCUAUGGGCUCAACUCAUAGUCUGCAUCGGAAACUGCCGGGCUUGAGUGUGGGAGAGGUGAGUGGAAUUCCUGGUGUAGCGGUGAAAUGCGUAGAUAUCAGGAGGAACACCUGUGGCGAAAGCGGCUCACUGGACCAUAACUGACGCUGAUGCACGGAAGCUAGGGGAGCAAACAGG